CCCACGACUCCGCGUGUGUGAAGAAGGCCUUCGGGUUGUAAAGCACUUUCAGUAGGGAGGAAGGUAGUGUAGUUAACACCUGCAUUAUUUGACGUUACCUACAGAAGAAGCACCGGCUAACUCCGUGCCAGCAGCCGCGGUAAUACGGAGGGGUGCGAGCGUUAAUCGGAAUUACUGGGCGUAAAGCGCAUGCAGGCGGCCUGUUAAGUCAGAUGUGAAAGCCCGGGGCUUAACCUCGGAAUUGCAUUUGAAACUGGCAGGCUAGAGUCUUGUAGAGGGGGGUAGGAAUUUCAGGUGUAGCGGUGAAAUGCGUAGAGAUCUGAAGGAAUACCAGUGGCGAAGGCGGCCCCCUGGACAAAGACUGACGCUCAGAUGCGAAAGCGUGGGGAGCAAACAGGAUUAGAUACCCUGGUAG
rnacentral:rRNA from 1 species